rnacentral:piRNA from 1 species
UACAAGUUGGAUGGGUGUCACUCUG